UCCAAUGUGCUUCAAUUCUGGUUUACCAAU
rnacentral:piRNA from 1 species